CACCAUGUGGUUUGUUAUGGCGAGCUUUAGCCUCCGUUUGAUUCGGAGUUAAGAAAAAAGCAGCUAUUUCAGGGAUAGAGUUAAGUUCAUGGUUAAAGUGGGGUUAAAGUUUUUUUGUGUUUGGUUGGGAGUUGGAGUUAGUCUAGAAUAAUGAAAAAUAGUGUUUGGUUGGAGUAGGUGGGAUAAGAAGAUAAUGAUUGAUAAAGAAGAAUAAUGAUUGGUUGGAGUAGGUGUGAUAAGAAAGAUAGUGAAUUAUUAUGAAUAGAAAAAAGUGUUUGGUUGGAGUUUGGUGGGGUUAGGUGGAAUUAGCUAAUCCGGGAUAAUUUAUUUGAGGUAGGGUUAGAUGGGGUUAGCUAAUCCCACCUAUUUUUUGAAAUGUUUGAGAAUAAAAUGGGGGUUAAAGAGUUAUUCCAUCUCUUAAUCCCCAACCAAACAAGGG
rnacentral:lncRNA from 1 species